AGUGAACGCUGGCGGUAGGCCUAACACAUGCAAGUCGAACGGCAGCACCGUAAGAGCUUGCUCUUACGGGUGGCGAGUGGCGGACGGGUGAGGAAUACAUCGGAAUCUACUUUUUCGUGGGGGAUAACGUAGGGAAACUUACGCUAAUACCGCAUACGACCUACGGGUGAAAGCAGUGGAUCUUCGGACCUUGCGGGAUUGAAUGAGCCGAUGUCGGAUUAGCUAGUUGGCGGGGUAAAGGCCCACCAAGGCGACGAUCCGUAGCUGGUCUGAGAGGAUGAUCAGCCACACUGGAACUGAGACACGGUCCAGACUCCUACGGGAGGCAGCAGUGGGGAAUAUUGGACAAUGGGCGCAAGCCUGAUCCAGCCAUACCGCGUGUGUGAAGAAGGCCUUCGGGUUGUAAAGCCCUUUUGUUGGGAAAGAAAAGCAGCAGGUUAAUACCACGCUGUUCUGACGGUAACGAAAGAAUAAGCACCGGCUAACUUCGUG
rnacentral:rRNA from 1 species